rfam:Gossypium hirsutum cultivar TM-1 chromosome 4, whole genome shotgun sequence
AAUUCAUGGUGUGAGUAUUUUUUAAUCAAUAUUCUAAAACAUUCCCAUGCCUCAUAGAAACUUUCUCCCUCCAUCUAUCUACAUAUAACAAUCUCUCUUCUUAGUU